AGAGUUUGAUCUUGGCUCAGAUUGAACGCUGGCGGCAUGCCUAACACAUGCAAGUCGAACGGAAACGAUGGAAGCUUGCUUCCAGGCGUCGAGUGGCGGACGGGUGAGUAAUACUUAGGAAUCUGCCCAGUAGUGGGGGACAACUCGGAGAAAUUCGAGCUAAUACCGCAUACGCCCUACGGGGGAAAGCGGAGGACUCUUCGGAGCUUCGCGCUAUUGGAUGAGCCUAAGUCGGAUUAGCUUGUUGGUGAGGUAAAAGCUCACCAAGGCGACGAUCCGUAGCUGGUCUGAGAGGACGAUCAGCCACACUGGGACUGAGACACGGCCCAGACUCCUACGGGAGGCAGCAGUGGGGAAUAUUGGACAAUGGGGGCAACCCUGAUCCAGCAAUGCCGCGUGUGUGAAGAAGGCCUGCGGGUUGUAAAGCACUUUCAGUAGAGAAGAAAAGCCUAGGGUUAAUACCCCUGGGUCUUGACGUUACCUACAGAAGAAGCUCCGGCUAACUCCGUGCCAGCAGCCGCGGUAAUACGGAGGGAGCGAGCGUUAAUCGGAAUUACUGGGCGUAAAGCGCGCGUAGGCGGCUUUGUAAGUCGGAUGUGAAAGCCCUGGGCUCAACCUGGGAAUUGCACUCGAUACUGCAGAGCUAGAGUAUGGUAGAGGGAAGUGGAAUUUCCGGUGUAGCGGUGAAAUCCGUAGAUAUCACUAGGAAUACCGAAAGCGAAGGCGAUCUCCUGGAACAUAACUGACGCUAAGGCGUGAAAGCGUGGGGAGCAAACGGGAUUAGAUACCCCGGUAGUCCACGCCCUAAACGAUGAACACUAGUCGUCGGGAUGCUAGUCAUCUCGGUGAUGCACUUAACAGAUUAAGUGUUCCGCCUGGGGAGUACGGUCGCAAGAUUAAAACUCAAAGGAAUAGACGGGGACCCGCACAAGUGGUGGAGCAUGUGGUUUAAUUCGAAGAUACGCGAAGAACCUUACCUAGCCUUGACAUUGAAGAAACACACUAGAGAUAGAGUGGUGCCCUUCGGGGAAUCUGAAAACAGGUGCUGCACGGCUGUCGUCAGCUCGUGUCGUGAGAUGUUGGGUUAAGUCCCGCAACGAGCGCAACCCUCGUCUUUAGUUGCCAGCAGGUUAAGCUGGGCACUCUAAAGAGACUGCCUUCGUAAGGAGGAGGAAGGUGAGGACGACGUCAAGUCAUCAUGGCCCUUAUGGCUAGGGCUACACACGUGCUACAAUGGGGCGUACAGAGUGUUGCGAUACCGCGAGGUGGAGCUAAUCACUUAAAGCGUCUCUCAGUUCGGAUUGAAGUCUGCAACUCGACUUCAUGAAGCUGGAAUCACUAGUAAUCGUAGAUCAGCAAUGCUACGGUGAAUACGUUCCCGGGUCUUGUACUCACCGCCCGUCACACCAUGGGAGUUGAUUUCACCCGAAAUUGGGAAGCUAACCUUCGGGAGGCUACCACUUACGGUGGAAUUAGCGACUGGGGUGAAGUCGUAACAAGGUAACCA
rnacentral:rRNA from 1 species